GAUGAACGCUAGCGGCAGGCUUAAUACAUGCAAGUCGAACGGGAUUGAGAAGCUUGCUUUUCAUGAGAGUGGCGCACGGGUGCGUAACACGUAUGCAACCUGCCUUGUCCAGGGGGAUAGCCCGUUGAAAGACGGAUUAAGACCGCAUAACAUCAUUGAAUGGCAUCGUUUAAUGAUCAAAUAUUUAUAGGGACAAGAUGGGCAUGCGUCUGAUUAGCUAGUUGGCGGGGUAAUGGCCCACCAAGGCGACGAUCAGUAGGGGAUCUGAGAGGAUGACCCCCCACACUGGUACUGAGACACGGACCAGACUCCUACGGGAGGCAGCAGUAAGGAAUAUUGGUCAAUGGGCGCAAGCCUGAACCAGCCAUGCCGCGUGCAGGAAGACGGCCCUACGGGUUGUAAACUGCUUUUAUACGGGAAUAACCCCGGUUUCGUGAAACCGGCUGAAUGUACCGUAAGAAUAAGGAUCGGCUAACUCCGUGCCAGCAGCCGCCGCAGUAA
rnacentral:rRNA from 1 species